AUGAGACAAGAGAAAAAGGAUCACUGAGAUACUUAUUUUUGUACACAUUUGAUGUGUGUAGCCAUGUGAUGUGCUAACAAAGAAAGUUGUCUCUACUUCAUUACCUUUAUCGAUGAUCAGUCAUGGUAUAGGUAUGUAUAUGAGAUACAAAUUUAAAAUUUUAAAAGAUUCAAAUAAUUCAGAUAUAAAGUAGAGAAGCAAAUCAAAAAAUUCUUAAAGAUACUU
rnacentral:lncRNA from 1 species